rnacentral:tRNA from 1 species
GCAGUGGUAGCAUAGUGGCUAAAGAGCAGGGCUAACAUGCAGCCUGAAAAGUUGUGGGUUCAAUUCCCAACAAUGGCC